UACGGGGGGGGCGAGCGUUGUUCGGAAUUAUUGGGCGUAAAGGGCGCGUAGGCGGUGUGGUAAGUCUGUUGUGAAACCUCCAGGCUCAACUUGGAGCUUGCAUCAGAAACUGCCGUGCUAGAGUGCGGGAGAGGAGAGUGGAAUUCCUGGUGUAGCGGUGAAAUGCGUAGAUAUCAGGAGGAACACCGGUGGCGAAAGCGGCUCUCUGGACCGCAACUGACGCUGAGGCGCGAAAGCUAGGGGAGCAAACAGG
rnacentral:rRNA from 1 species